rnacentral:lncRNA from 1 species
AUCCUUGCCGUGGGUUUCAUGCAAUUCCUAUCAGUUUUGGGGCUUUCUAGAAGCCCUAUCCUCAAAUCCCUACAUUGGUGCCGCACCCUAGCUUCUAGAUGCCUAGUUCCUUGCCUUGCAAGGCAUUCUAGAAACCUUAUCACCUUAUCCUAUCCCUGCCGCACCUAGGACCUCUUUUCCCUUGCAAAAUCUGAUUGUUUAGACCUAUUUCCUUGUGGAUUUGGGUUAUCCAAGUCCAUAUCUGAUUACCCUAGGGUUUUAAGUGCCUAUAUAUACUCCUACUAACCCCUAAAUCAGAUCACCACUCACCACAAUUCACAAUUCACUCCAGAAAUUCGUCCAACCCUCUCCUCACUCUUGCCGCACCCACCAAACACCGUUCCCCCUAGUUCUAAAUCUUGCCGCACCAUCCCCACCCCCUAAACACUACUACAUCCAUCCAUAACCAUGCAUCCAUACACCUAAAGUCCCAACCUGUCCCUAAAAGUCCUUUGCCGCACCAAGGAGGAGGAGGAAGCUCGGAAGUUCAUGCAAUUCAAGUUCGCGUCGCUGGAAUUUCUAGGUGUUUCUUUUCCUUUGAUUUCAAUGUUUAAAUUCAAUUCUCUUUGUUUUGUGCGUAUGAGGAACUAAACCCCCCUUGGCUAGGGGGGGAUUCGAAAUACAUGUUUAUGCUUGUGUUAUGAUUUGAUUACUUCUAAUUGCGUUUCAUAAGUUGUGAAUUCAAUUUACUUAUCUAUGAGAAUUACAUUGAUUUGUGUGUGUUGGUUGAGAGUGCACGCUUAAUUAUCAUGCAUAAAUUGAAUGCUAGGAU